CCGGCCUUCGGCAUCCUACAACGUUAGUGUUGAGUCACCGUACUGAAGAAGUCCCUGCACACUGCUGGAGAAGCCGGCCCGAACCAUCCGACCAUUUUGUUUCCCAUGAUCCAUCUGUGCAGCCGGGAGGAGGAGCGUCCGGG